rnacentral:rRNA from 1 species
GACGAACGCUGGCGGCGUGCUUAACACAUGCAAGUCGAACGCAUCCUUCGGGGUGAGUGGCAGACGGGUGAGUAACGCGUGGGAACGUGCCCUUCAGUUCGGGAUAACCCAGGGAAACUUGGGCUAAUACCGGAUACGUGCGAGAGCAGAAAGAUUUAUCGCUGAAGGAUCGGCCCGCGUCUGAUUAGCUAGUUGGAGGGGUAAUGGUCCGCCAAGGCGACCAUCAGUAGCUGGUCUGAGAGGAUGAUCAGCCACAUUGGGACUGAGACACGGCCCAAACUCCUACGGGAGGCAGCAGUGGGGAAUAUUGGACCAUGGGCGCAAGCCUGUUCCAGCCAUGCCGCGUGAGUAAUGAAGGCCCUAGGGUUGUAAAGCUCUUUCGUCCGGGACGAUAAUGACGGUACCGGAAGAAGAAGCCCCGGCUAACUUCGUGCCAGCCGCCGCUGUAA